GGGGUUUAGGGGGUUUGGCAGCGGAUUGCAAAUCCGCCAUCCCGGGUUCGAAUCCCGGCGGCGCCU
rnacentral:tRNA from 1 species